rnacentral:rRNA from 1 species
UCGGGAAUUUUGGGCAAUGGGCGAAAGCCUGACCCAGCAACGCCGCGUGAGGGAUGAAGUAUUUCGGUAUGUAAACCUCGAAAGAAUGGGAAGAAUAAAUGACGGUACCAUUUAUAAGCUCCGGCUAACUACGUGCCAGCAGCCGCGGUAAUACGUAGGGAGCAAGCGUUGUUCGGAUUUACUGGGCGUAAAGGGCGCGUAGGCGGCGCGGUAAGUCACUUGUGAAAUCUCUGAGCUUAACUCAGAACGGCCAAGUGAUACUGCUGUGCUAGAGUGCGGAAGAGGCAACCGGAAUUCUUGGUGUAGCGGUGAAAUGCGUAGAUAUCAAGAGCAACACCUGAGGCGAAGGCGGGUUGCUGGGCCGACACUGACGCUGAUGCGCGAAAGCCAGGGGAGCAAACG